AGAGUUUGAUCAUGGCUCAGGAUGAACGCUAGCUACAGGCUUAACACAUGCAAGUCGAGGGGAAACGGACAUCGAAAGCUUGCUUUUGAUGGGCGUCGACCGGCGCACGGGUGAGUAACGCGUAUCCAACCUGCCCACCACUUGGGGAUAACCUUGCGAAAGUAAGACUAAUACCCAAUGAUAUCUCUAGAAGACAUCUGAAAGAGAUUAAAGAUUUAUCGGUGAUGGAUGGGGAUGCGUCUGAUUAGCUUGUUGGCGGGGUAACGGCCACCAAGGCUACGAUCAGGUAGGGGUUCUGAGAGGAACGGUCCCCCANAUUGGAACUGAGACACGGUCCAAACUCCGUACGGGAGCA
rnacentral:rRNA from 1 species